UAAUACGAACUGCGCGAACGUUAUUCGGAAUCACUGGGCUUAAAGGGUGCGUAGGCGGCCUGUUAAGUAGGGUGUGAAAUUUGUCGGCUCAACCGGCAAACUGCAUUCUAAACUGGCAGGCUUGAGUGAGUCAGGGGUGUGCGGAACUUCCGGUGGAGCGGUGAAAUGCGUUGAUAUCGGAAGGAACGCCGGUGGCGAAAGCGGCACACUGGGGCUUUUCUGACGCUGAGGCACGAAAGCUAGGGGAGCGAACAGGAUUAGAUACCCUGGUAGUCCUAGCCGUAAACGAUGAAUACUGGGUUGGGGGAGCAUGUCUCUCCCAGCCGUAGCGAAAGCGUUAAGUAUUCCGCCUGGGGAGUAUGGUCGCAAGGCUG
rnacentral:rRNA from 1 species